UUGCCACGUUGAAUACAUCGCUUCUCGUACGAUCACCGAAGUUAAGAAACAUUGAGCCCGGUCAGUACUUGGGAGGGUGACCACCUGAAAACACCACCGCAUAUUUU